AUGGAGUACAAAGGAAAAAAAAGGUUUGUGAGGAUGUUUGUUACAUUCAAGCCUUUGUGUGAUGGGUUUUUGGCCGGUUGCCGACCAUACUUGGCAAUUGAUAGUACUCAUUUGACUGGGAAGUAUAGAGGUCAGCUAGCAAUUGCUUGUGCUGUUGAUGGGCACAAUUGGUUGUACCCUGUUGCUUAUGCAAUUAUUGACUCGGAAACAACAGAAAGUUGGGAUUGGUUCAUGGAGAAGCUUCAUCAAGCUAUUGGUUGUCCACCUGGACUUGCAAUCUGUUCGGAUGCAGGAAAAGGGAUUGAUAGUGCAAUUGAAGAGGUGUAUAAGUAUGCUGAACAUAGGGAAUGCAUGCGCCACUUGGUUGUCAACUUUAAGAAAAAAAUUCAUGGUAAAGUAUUUGAUGACCAUAUGUGGCCAGCAGCUUAUUCAUGGACUCCAGAAGCUUUCGAAGCCCACAUGGCAGCCAUACAUGAGAAAAAACCUAAAGCAAUAGAGUACUUGACAAGAUACCAUAGUAGGCUUUGGUCCAGGAGCAAAUUUUCCACUUCCUCAAAGGUGGAUUAUGUGACAAACAAUCUGGCCGAGUGCUUCAACAACUGGAUUAACAAGCACAAGGGCAUGAUGUUGUUUCAGUUGGUGGACAAAAUUAGAAGGAAUAUAUUAGUCAAGAUGGAGAAGAGGAGGAGGAUUGCCAAAAAAUUGGAAGGCCAUCGUAUACUACCUAGUGUCAUGAAGGAGUUGAAUGCAAAGAGUAGAGGGUUGGACAUAGAGUAUGAGAGGAUUGACCACAUGAAAGCAGAGGUGAGUGAGGGUGGUGAAGAUGGCAAGCGACAUGUUGUGGAUCUGGACAUGAGGACAUGCACAUGUAGAGAAUUCCAAGUAUCAGGGAAGCCUUGCAAGCAUGCCAUUUCCUUCAUCACCGGAAUUAGAGGGGUCACUAUAGAAGACUUUGUUGAUGAUUACUAUAGUGUUGCCAAGUUCGCAGCAGCAUAUACUCCUGUAAUGCCGGGGCUUACUGAUGCAUCUCAAUGGCCAAAGAAAACCCAUGAAUUCUUUUUGCACCCUCCAAUCCUUCGAAGGGCUCCUGGGAGGCCAAAAGUAGAGAGGCACAAGAGUGGUGCUGAGCAUAGCAAGAGCAAGAGAAGAAAAGGACAACAUCAGUGCCCAAUUUGCAAAGACUAUGGUCAUAGAUGGCAAGGUUGCAAAAAUGCUGAUCCAGAUGCAAAAGAAGCGUAUGCUGAUGUGGCAAAAGAAAGAAGGAAAAAAAGAAAUAAAUCCAAAGUUGCAGCAAGGAGUGGUGAC
rnacentral:rRNA from 1 species